UCAUUUUAUUUACCUUCUAAUAUAACCAAAAAGGCUAGCAAUUUAAGCAAGCAGUAACAGUAACCAAUAUAAUUACCGAAAUUGCAUUUCCACCUACGAAACUCUUAAUGAAAACCCCGCAGAUGAAUACCAAAUUAAUCGCUUUAUUUUUAAAAGUAAAAAUACAUUCCUCUCAAAAAAAAAAAAAAAAAGGAACAAUUUUCACACCAUACAUAUUUAACCCCACAAAAAAUAAGCAUACAAAAUCAUAUAUAUGACAAAGAUAGGAACUGUUGAAUACUUGAGUCUCUCACAUCACAUAUACAUGUUCAAAACAUAUAUAACAAACUGGUAGCCACCAACGCUGUGAGAAGAACAAAU
rnacentral:lncRNA from 1 species